rnacentral:lncRNA from 1 species
ACACAAAAGUCACAACUUCAUGUAAAUACAACUAGAACCCAAACUUUUAAUAAUGCAAAAACUUCAUUAAAGGAUCAAAACAAUUUGUCCUUUAGCGUUUUUGGACCUAAACGUAAAAACGUAAACUUUUGGGUCAAAGUGCAAAUACACAAAAGUAUCAAAACUUUAUGUAAUUGCAUAAAAGCCCCAAAAGUACUCCCUUUGAGGGAGUGGCUGGUUUUGGGGAGGGAUAAGGUUGGUGUGUGUGUUGAUUUGUGAGUUUUGUCAAAAGCAUGCAAGUGUAUGUAAGAUAAGUUUUCAAAUAAUUCAAUCACAAUUAUUUCAAUCAUCAUUUAUACAAAUAUUUAACACUUUAAAUACAUGAUAAAUCAUUUAAAAACAAAUCACAUAAACUUUAUGAAAUAAAUCAAAACUUUGAAUCAAAACACCAAACCUUUUUGUUCUUGGCAAGAACAU